GCCCAGGCUGGCCUCAAAUCCACAACAAUCUUCUUGCCUCAGCCUCCCGAGUGCUGGGAUUAUAGAUGUGCCCCACCCUGCCCGGCCUAAGAUGGGGAUAUUUUGAGGGAAAAAUAACGGCAAUGUGUCUUUUAUUGUAAUAAAUUUCUCUUAUUCAUAUGCAUACCAUAGUUUUUCAUCAGUUCUUGUAGUUUAGUGCGAAGGCUCUGGGUUCAUUCUCCAGUACUGAAUAAAAAGUGGAUCUCUACAAAUGUGAGAUAAGCAAUUACUUGAAGUGAUGUAAAAAUUUAACAAUCACAGGGUCUCAUAAUUCUAAUGACUAUGUAUGGGGUGUGCAUGUAUGUCUAUAGUAGUAUAAAGUAGUGUAGUGAGAGAGAAGCAAUCAUGAGGGACAUGUAAGUGAGAUCGUGCGCCUUGGGGGAAUCACACCUGUUCCAGCUCCACUUCCUAUUGGCUCCUUGAUUCCUUACCAUCUCUCGAAGUCCACACUCUCUGGCCAGGUGAGCACGCAGUUCCUUUCAAAAUGGUGAGUCACUUUAAUCUCGCUUUCUUCUUAGUAAUAGUGAAGGGUGGGGCUCGGGUAGAGGGAAAGAAUGAAGUGCGGGAGUAAUCUGAAUCUUGGGAAAUGGCAACAUUUAUUAGAGAUAGAAAGUAUUAGAAAUGAAAAAAAGGAUAUAAAUAAAGCUCUCUAGAAGCUCUGAAGGAGAGGGUUAUCUUUUGGGGGCAAUGAGGAAAGUCUUUGUAGAGAAGAUGACGUAUAAACUGGGCCUGAAAGGAUGGAUGGGGUUUUGAUAAGUAGGCACAGGCAGGAAAAUAUUCUUUGAAGAGGCAAAUAGCCCAACAGAGGUGUCACAGCACAAAAUGCAAGCCUGUUCUGGGAAAGAUAGGUCAUUCAGUGUUGCUGUAGUUAAAAUGAAGAGGGUGGGUAGAUGCCAAGUAAUAAGAGGCUCUAAAUGCUAGGAUGGGAUUUCAUUUGGUGUACACAACCCACCAAAUAUGCAUGGGCAUGUCUUAAGGCUUUUACUUUCUAUGGUUUGAUUUUUUUUUUUUUUAGCAUCUGAAGUCUUCUAAGAAUGGGCUAUUACACUAUUGAUAAGCCAAUUAUUUGUGUUUUAAAGGCAAGGGUGUGGCCAGCUUCAGGAGAUUCAGAGGAUCACAGACAUCACUGGACUUUUGACAUAUUAUAUGUAGUAAUUUCUUUUCUUUUUUAUUCACCCAUUUUUAUCCCCAUGGUUAGUUACACAGUAAGUGUAGAAGAUUGUGUUUUCAUAAAUGACCAAAUCAAGAUCUCCCAUCUACAUACUCUCUUUACACAGUGUCUUUGACAUUUGUCAUUUUAAUGAGCCUUGAGCCUGAGACCCAGUGCCCGAUACCCACAGUUUAAUUUACUCAUGGUUUCAGUCCUUUGUCAUGGCUCCAAAGCAGAGACAUCACAGUAGAAGAGUGUGGCAGAACAAAACUGAUUAGUUCAUGGCAGCAGAGUAGGGCAGCACUGCCAGCAGAGCAGGGGACCAGACAUAAACCCCAAGGCCAGGCCUCCAGGCCACCCAGACACACCUAGAAGUGUGAUCCCCUAGUCUCCAGGGCAGACUUUCAAAGCAAAUCAAGUUGAAACUUCACCCUAAUCAUCAACUUGUCUUGUCCUGAAGUGAUUUCUAUGUUCUCCUCCUUAGGUUGGUACAUGACCGCAGUGGUAGUGACCCCAGUUGACUUUCAAGGCUAGGCCAUAGACACCGUGAAGCUUCCUCCUGGUUCUUGUGGGGUACUCACCUUUGGAACCUUAACCACAGUGGAGGAAGUGAGAGACCUCUGUGCUGUCAUGAACCCAGGCAGUGCCUACCAGAAAGAAGUCAAGUGGCCUCAAACUCUGGAGUUAUCUGUGUGAUCUUUGGAAUUAGCAACCUGAAAACAGAGCAGGGAGAGAAUGUGUUAGCCAAGGAUGCCAUGGUGGUAGGUACCAAGGAUCAAAGGAGUUGCUCCGCUGGAAGCCAGCAUGGGUAGAAGAUGAUGGCAGGACUGUCUUCAACUGGUACUCAAUGGAGUAAGGACCUCUUCAGGUCCUGAUGGGAAGGUGUGCUCUCAAGAUUUCUUGAGUUCCCCUCGGAGGUAUGGAGGAGGAUUCUCUCUCCACUUGAGCAGCUCACAUUGGACCCCAAAAGGAGGAGGAUGCAGUCUGUCUGCCUAUCUGUCUGCCUGCCUGAUUCUGCUCCAUCAAGUCCCCCAAGAGCGAAAAAAAUGCGGAUUCAAAACUGCAAAUUGUCUGUAGCCUGUCAAACUGCUAAAGUACACCUCUCCUGCCUGUAAAGCCAGUUCAAGACCUCUGAGCUGCCAAUGCCACCACAGUUGACCUCUCUAUUCAUUACCUUAGUCUUCUGCCACCUACAGCCUACUGGUACACCUGCCUGGACCAAAAAGAAUGCCUUCUUCUUCCUUUGAUUGGCUCCUGUCAGCCAGCCUGUCUUUGCCUUUAAGUGGAAGAACCCCAGUUCUGGACUCAAAAGUCAAUUGACCUGGACUCAGUCUCCCAGAGGUUCACAAACUUGCUUACCCUCUUUGUAGAAGCCCUCACAACUGCCCUUGCUAAUUUCCCAGCACGGAAAUCACUACAUUUCUGAUUAAUGACACCCAAGCUGCCUGCUGGAAAGGCACAAAAGCUCUACUGUAAUAUCUGGCAGAAACUGGUUGCAAGAAAGAAAUGCAGCAAAUUUCUUAGAGCUGCUGGCUUCUAUAGAAUCUGGAUCCUUGAGUUCACCAAAACAACGAUGUUUACUUAGACUUUCAGCCCCUGAGAGAACCCCAUGGCCUACCUGUUCAAAUACUUAGAUCCAGUCACUAAGGGCUGUUUCCCCUCUUUGCCUCUGCAUUCUAAUAGCCUCUGUCCUUCUGAUCAAGAAAGCUGACAAGCUCACCUUAGGCCAAGAAUUAGCUGUCCAGGUGCCUCAUGCUGUACUGGACCUCCUGAAUAACUGUGGAUCACUCAGUCCUGCCAUAUACCUGCCCACUAAGCUGGGCCCACCAUACCAUGACUGAAAGAUAAACCCCCUGACAGAUGCUGAGUAUACACUGUUUACAGAUGAAGGUGGCUCUGUUAGGAAUGGAGUCUGACAGGCUAAAUAUGCUGUGAUCACCUUGGACAAAGUUACUUUGACCAAAGCUGUCCUGCUAUUGCUUCCUGCUGCUGUUUGGAAACUUGCCACCAACAAUGCCAAACCUGUGCUUCUAGGCCCCCUCUGGGGAUCUGAUUGACAGAAACAUCAACCCCAGCUAGAAAAACUAUACCCAGUAUUCCCAGAAGAUCCAUUGUAAUCAGAACCAGACCUGCCCCCCACUGUAUGUUCUGCAAGCUCAAGUGACAGCACUGGCAUGCAUACCCUGUAGCCAGCUCAGGCUUCAGCAUCUGUGUCACUGACCCUGACCUCCCCCCCAUUAAAGAUAUACAGAUAGACUUCACAGAAAGAAGUAAAGCCUUACAGGGGUUACAAAUAUCUGUUAGUGUUUGUCUGCACCUACUCAGGUUGACCCAAGAUAUUCCCUAUCCACACAGAGAAGACAAUAAAAGUUUGUAUGGUUCUGCUGUGAAAAAUCAUCCCUUGAUAUGACCUACCCUUUGACCAUUGGCAGUGACAAUGGCCCUGCAAAUGCAAAUUCCCACGAGGAGUUUGUGGUUUGUUUCCCUUAUUAUAGGAGUUUUCCUCAAAUUGACUCUGACAAGGGAGUAGAGGAGUUAUUCUGAUGUAGGAGGAUGUCCAGUGUGUCUUGGACAUUCAUCAAAUCUUUAUCAUUUAUAAGGGCCUCACUGGUUAUUUUUUAUUCUCUCAUGGCAACCAUCCAUAGAGCUGGGGUAAGUAUCCUGAAAAGGCACAAAAAGGGGAAAAAUUCGUUGAAGUGUACAGCAAUCCUGUGAAAGGCUUUGAGUGUGUCAUAACUAGUUCCAUAAAAAUUUAGGUAAAAGACCAGCUGCACCUGUAGACACCCCUGCACACAUAUAACCCAGGUGCAUAGUAAUUACCUCUAGAACUCUUACAGUUUUAGAAAUCCAGCCAUUCCAGAAUUUACCUGGACUAGACAGCUCACUCUGAAGAGAUGAUGUACUCAGAGCCCUACUCUGGUUACUCUGGAUGCUGACCAGUCCACGCAUGGGUGAAACCUGAGGACACUGUUUACAGGAUUGCUCUAUACCGCAAUGCAUUAUUCCCCUUGAUUUUUGUGCCUUUUCAGGUUGCUUACCCGAGUCCUUGCUUUCAUUUCAGCUGUAUGGAUGAUUGUCCCAAGAGAAUAAAAAUAACCAGUUUCAGUGUUUCUGUUUGCCUUAGCAAGAUCAGUCUUAGAAACUAAAUUCUGCAGGUCCUGAAAAGUGGAUGAAGCCACCCAUGGUCUUUGUUCUUGAUCCAAGACACUGCCUACCAGGUCUUAUAUCACUGACCUAGCAGCCUUUAUGAUCAAGCAUAUGUUCUUGGAAAGUGCGAGUUUGCUUCAGGUUAAUCCCAUGAUAUAGUUGCCACAUCCUUGACUGUGGCAUAAAGGAAAUAUCAUAGAAAGUUCAGCAUUCAGUUACUGUAUUUAAAUAUUCACAUUGGUAAGAGGAAGAUGCUCAUGGCCUGCCAAGGCCUAAGGUUGGGCAUUUUUCUAUCUUGAGGCUCUAAAUAGCCAUAAGUAAUUGUGUGUGGUAGUUAUGGUUGAUUGUGCCAACUUGAUUGCUCUGGAGCCAUGGGAGGAAUUAGUAACACACACUUUUAGGUGUGUCUGGGUGGGUCAUGGAAGUGUGACCUUGGGGGACUAUAUAUAUGAUCCCUGAUCCCUUUAUCUCUGGCACUGUUCUCCUGCUCUGCUUCCCAGAUAC